ACGCUAGCUACAGGCUUAACACAUGCAAGUCGAGGGGAAACGACAUCGAAAGCUUGCUUUUGAUGGGCGUCGACCGGCGCACGGGUGAGUAACGCGUAUCCAACCUGCCCAUCACUUGGGGAUAACCUUGCGAAAGUAAGACUAAUACCCAAUGACGUCUCUAGAAGACAUCUGAAAGAGAUUAAAGAUUUAUCGGUGAUGGAUGGGGAUGCGUCUGAUUAGCUUGUUGGCGGGGUAACGGCCCACCAAGGCUACGAUCAGUAGGGGUUCUGAGAGGAAGGUCCCCCACAUUGGAACUGAGACACGGUCCAAACUCCUACGGGAGGCAGCAGCGAGGAAUAUUGGUCAAUGGACGAGAGUCUGAACCAGCCAAGUAGCGUGCAGGAUGACGGCCCUAUGGGUUGUAAACUGCUUUUAUAAGGGAAUAAAGUGAGUCUCGUGAGACUUUUUGCAUGUACCUUAUGAAUAAGGACCGGCUAAUUCCGUGCCAGCAGCCGCGGUAAUACGGAAGGUCCGGGCGUUAUCCGGAUUUAUUGGGUUUAAAGGGAGCGUAGGCCGGAGAUUAAGCGUGUUGUGAAAUGUAGAUGCUCAACAUCUGCACUGCAGCGCGAACUGGUUUCCUUGAGUACGCACAAAGUGGGCGGAAUUCGUGGUGUAGCGGUGAAAUGCUUAGAUAUCACGAAGAACUCCGAUUGCGAAGGCAGCUCACUGGAGCGCAACUGACGCUGAAGCUCGAAAGUGCGGGUAUCGAACAGGAUUAGAUACCCUGGUAGUCCGCACGGUAAACGAUGGAUGCCCGCUGUUGGUCUGAAUAGGUCAGCGGCCAAGCGAAAGCAUUAAGCAUCCCACCUGGGGAGUACGCCGGCAACGGUGAAACUCAAAG
rnacentral:rRNA from 1 species